rnacentral:tRNA from 1 species
AUUUAUAUAGUUUAAUUAAAACAUUACAUUUUCAUUGUAAAAUCAAACUUAGUUUUAUAAAUA